AAAGGAAUUGACGGGGGCCCGCACAAGCGGCGGAGCAUGCGGAUUAAUUCGAUGCAACGCGAAGAACCUUACCAAGGCUUGACAUAUAGAAGAACACUGUAGAGAUACAGGACUCUUUGGACACUUCUAUACAGGUGGUGCAUGGUUGUCGUCAGCUCGUGUCGUGAGAUGUUCGGUUAAGUCCGGCAACGAGCGCAACCCUCGUCCUAUGUUGCCAGCGGGUUAUGCCGGGGACUCAUGGGAUACUGCCGUGGUGAACACGGAGGAAGGUGGGGAUGACGUCAAAUCAUCAUGCCCCUUAUGUCUUGGGCUUCACGCAUGCUACAAUGGCCGGUACAAUGGGCUGCGAUACCGUAAGGUGGAGCGAAUCCCAAAAAGCCGGUCUCAGUUCGGAUUGGGGUCUGCAACUCGACCCCAUGAAGUCGGAGUCGCUAGUAAUCGCAGAUCAGCAACGCUGCGGUGAAUACGUUCCCGGGCCUUGUACACACCGCCCGU
rnacentral:rRNA from 1 species